GGGCGGUUAGCUCAGUUGGAUAGAGCGCCAGUUUUACACACUGGAGGUCACAGGUUCAAGCCCUGCACCGCCCA
rnacentral:tRNA from 1 species